rnacentral:lncRNA from 1 species
CAAUUCAAGAUGAGAUUUGGGUGGAGACACAGCCAAACCAUAUCAUUGACUGACUUAAAUUCAACAGAACUGUGCUUUGGAGGACAUCGUUGCGCUGCUGACUUCUAACACUGAGAGAGAAGGGAGAUUGUGAAAGGUACAAGAGGCAGGGGAGCAGCCCACUGAGCUACCCCAGGAAUUUCCCUGACAAUCAGUUUUAAGGAGGACAUGCAGAAGUUGAAGAUGUGGAACACACAUCCCAUCUAAGGGGUGACAUCCUUCAGUUUGUGGACAGCUGGUCUAAUUCACUGGAGGAGGAACACAGCUCCCCUGGGGCCAUGCUCUGGCCACAGAACAGUGUGCAAGAGGUCAUUUAUGUUCAGGUGAUCCUGCCUUAUCCUGGAGAAAGAAAUGUUAUGCAAGAGGCCAAGAAGAAGCUAAACAAACAAGCCAUGAUGGAUUCCCAUCUCAGCUUAUUACCAUUGGGACAUGUCCUUUUUGUCCAAUCACAUUUCUACAUGGCAGUACAGUCUUCAUCAAACCUAAGCAUUAAAAAAAAAGUUUUCUCUGGGUCUUUGGGUCUUUUGUUUCGGAAGGCUCCUGUAUUACAUAAAACUUUGUUAAAU